rnacentral:tRNA from 1 species
GGGCCAUUAGCUCAGGUGGUUAGAGCGCACCCUGAUAAGGGUGAGGUCUGGUUCAAGUCCAGGAUGGCCCA